rnacentral:rRNA from 1 species
AAGAUGGGGAUAACCUUCCGAAAGGAGGGCUAAUACCGAAUGAGACCACAGCUACAUAUGUAGCAGGGGUUGAAGGUGGCCUCUACUUGUAAGCUAUCGCUUGGAGACGGGCUUAUGCACCAUCAGCUAGUUGGCGAGGUAACGGCUCACCAAGGCUUUGACGGUUAGCUGAUCUGAGAGGUUGAUCAGCCACACUGGAACUGAGACACGGUCCAG